rnacentral:rRNA from 1 species
UGGGGAAUUUUGGACAAUGGGCGCAAGCCUGAUCCAGCCAUGCCGCGUGAGUGAAGAAGGCCUUCGGGUUGUAAAGCUCUUUCGGUUGGGAAGAAAUUGCUUCGGAUAAUACCCGGAGUAGAUGACGGUACCAGCAUAAGAAGCACCGGCUAACUACGUGCCAGCAGCCGCGGUAAUACGUAGGGUGCGAGCGUUAAUCGGAAUUACUGGGCGUAAAGCGUGCGCAGGCGGUUGUGUAAGUCAGAUGUGAAAGCCCCGGGCUCAACCUGGGAACUGCAUUUGAGACUGCACGGCUAGAGUGUGGCAGAGGGGGGUAGAAUUCCACGUGUAGCAGUGAAAUGCGUAGAGAUGUGGAGGAAUACCGAUGGCGAAGGCAGCCCCCUGGGCCAAUACUGACGCUCAUGCACGAAAGCGUGGGGAGCAAACA